CCCAAAAGUAGUCAUUUAGUAAUAAAGUCAAUAAUAGCCUGCGAACAGGCUCACUGGGAGAAAGGUGAGCCUGCACCAGCCUCUGAGCCUGCACGGAACCAUACGUUUUGUUCAAUCAUCCCCUUUUUGCAUCUGCUAACGCGAACCAAUCAGCGUCGACUGCGAUAAAUAAACUGUCAAAUUGACGCCGGGCGUAUGUACAACGAAUAAAUGUAUAUAUGGCUUAUUGCACAUUUUAUCCGUACACCCCCUGUUGAGGACACACAGCAUAAAUUCUCCUACCCCCCGGAUUUCCAAGUAAUUUUUUGUCAGAAGCCCUGGAAAAAUGUGGUUUGUAAAAGGGGGUGCCUGGAAUUCCAAUUGUGUUUAAUCAGUGACUUUUGGAAAUUCAUUUUUUUUCCGCAUGACUCUGGAAUUCCACUGUGAAUAAGUUGAUCUCCCCUGGAUUUCCUUGCCACUUUUUGUCUCCAUCCCUGGAAAAAUGUGGUUUGUAGAAGGGAGUACCUGGAAUUCCAAGCACUUUUUUUUUAUGAUGACAAUCAAUGACCCUUGGAAAUGCAUUUUUUUCCGCAUGACUCCAGAAUUCCACUGUGAAUAAGUUGAUCUCCCCUGGAAUUUCCAAUUCCGGUAUCAUUAAUAAUUUAUUUUAUUCUAUUUAUUUUAUUCCCCGGAAUUUCCAUGUAAAUCUUAUUAUUUUGACCCCCACCCACUGGAAUUCCAGGUUGGUUUGACCCCCACCCACUGGAAUUCCAGGGUUAAAUAUAAAAGGCAUCCCCUGGAUUUCCAAGGUCCUCAACAGGGGGUGUACGGAUAAAAAAUGCAAUAUGCCAUGAUAUAAACAAUAAUAUUCAUUUCUUAUUCUAUGAUACGAAGCAUUACUGUAGUAGGAAGCCGCACAAUAUAUUAAAUAUAGAAUUCGCCAGAUAAUAGAUUUGUAAUAAUACUUUUACUACUUGUGACUGAAAGAAUAAAGUUCUGAAAAUUUGAAGCUAUUAAAAUACGGAAGCCGUAUAUGUAAUGUACACUAUAGUGGGUCGAUACUAUAUGACAAUGAAAGAGAGACUUGGCGCAAGUC